rnacentral:pre_miRNA from 1 species
AGAGAGAGAUAAUGGGAGGAGGAGGAGGUGAGGAGGGUGAUAGACUGACAGAAGAGAGUGAGCACACAAACAGGCAAUUGUAUGGAUGGAGUACCUUUGCGGGGUGCGUGCUCACUUCUCUUCUGUCAUCUCAAAUUGAUCUUAUCUCCUCCUCCUCCUCCUUUGAUCUUAUCUCCUCUCU